GCCCUUCCGCGAGCCCAGGACACGGGUAAGAUCUUUAUUUCAUUACUCCUUUGUAACGCGGUAAUCUCUCUGGUCCAAUACCUGUAUACCUGUUUGCCAUACAGCUCUGAUUCUUGGAAAAGGGUAAGUGAUCCCUCUUUCGUGACCUGAAGAUCAUGUCUCCUGACCUUGUUUUGUGUUCAGCAGGUGGUGGUGGAGAGCUGUGACCCGUUCGAGCCUAGUGAGGAUGUUCACGGACACAGCAGGAACCCACACCCACAGGAGUCCCCCGUUCUGAUGGGAUCUCCGUGCCUUCUGUUGAUCCCAGCGUACUUUGGUUUGUUCUUCUAUUUUCAGGUUCUGUUCCAUUGCAUGCUUUUCUGCUGUGUUUUUCUUCCUUCCUUUUGUUUUACAGGCUGGAAAUGUACGCCUGAUUGGUUCUAUGGUGACCCAAAUGCCAUGUAGGAAGGUUUGGCCAAGUGUGGUGGGAAAGGAAGAGGACUGGGGACGCCAGCACCAGAUGCCGUUGCACUUCCUGACCUCCCUGGGUGGCAGCGUUGGAAGUGCCUGGACCCUUGGAAAGGGCUAAGUGAUUCCUUCAUCAUUACCAGAAUGUAGUUUGUGUUCAAGAGGAGACGGUGGAGAACUGUGGCCUUUUGAUCAGUGCAAAGCGUCUACUGAGGCUCUAGGUGGAGAGAACGGGAACGCAGAGCCAUAGGCGGAUGCCAAGAUCCACUCCUUCCUCUGCCUGGCAAGCUAUGUUGAUCCCUGAGGUUGUUUCCAUGCUUGCAGGU